AACUCACUCCUCCUGCUUGAUGA
rnacentral:siRNA from 1 species